AGAGUUUGAUCCUGGCUCAGAUUGAACGCUGGCGGCAGGCCUAACACAUGCAAGUCGAGCGGAAACGAGUUAUCUGAACCUUCGGGGAACGAUAACGGCGUCGAGCGGCGGACGGGUGAGUAAUGCCUAGGAAAUUGCCCUGAUGUGGGGGAUAACCAUUGGAAACGAUGGCUAAUACCGCAUGAUGCCUACGGGCCAAAGAGGGGGACCUUCGGGCCUCUCGCGUCAGGAUAUGCCUAGGUGGGAUUAGCUAGUUGGUGAGGUAAGGGCUCACCAAGGCGACGAUCCCUAGCUGGUCUGAGAGGAUGAUCAGCCACACUGGAACUGAGACACGGUCCAGACUCCUACGGGAGGCAGCAGUGGGGAAUAUUGCACAAUGGGCGCAAGCCUGAUGCAGCCAUGCCGCGUGUGUGAAGAAGGCCUUCGGGUUGUAAAGCACUUUCAGUCGUGAGGAAGGUAGUGUAGUUAAUAGCUGCAUUAUUUGACGUUAGCGACAGAAGAAGCACCGGCUAACUCCGUGCCAGCAGCCGCGGUAAUACGGAGGGUGCGAGCGUUAAUCGGAAUUACUGGGCGUAAAGCGCAUGCAGGUGGUUUGUUAAGUCAGAUGUGAAAGCCCGGGGCUCAACCUCGGAAUAGCAUUUGAAACUGGCAGACUAGAGUACUGUAGAGGGGGGUAGAAUUUCAGGUGUAGCGGUGAAAUGCGUAGAGAUCUGAAGGAAUACCGGUGGCGAAGGCGGCCCCCUGGACAGAUACUGACACUCAGAUGCGAAAGCGUGGGGAGCAAACAGGAUUAGAUACCCUGGUAGUCCACGCCGUAAACGAUGUCUACUUGGAGGUUGUGGCCUUGAGCCGUGGCUUUCGGAGCUAACGCGUUAAGUAGACCGCCUGGGGAGUACGGUCGCAAGAUUAAAACUCAAAUGAAUUGACGGGGGCCCGCACAAGCGGUGGAGCAUGUGGUUUAAUUCGAUGCAACGCGAAGAACCUUACCUACUCUUGACAUCCAGAGAACUUUCCAGAGAUGGAUUGGUGCCUUCGGGAACUCUGAGACAGGUGCUGCAUGGCUGUCGUCAGCUCGUGUUGUGAAAUGUUGGGUUAAGUCCCGCAACGAGCGCAACCCUUAUCCUUGUUUGCCAGCGAGUAAUGUCGGGAACUCCAGGGAGACUGCCGGUGAUAAACCGGAGGAAGGUGGGGACGACGUCAAGUCAUCAUGGCCCUUACGAGUAGGGCUACACACGUGCUACAAUGGCGCAUACAGAGGGCGGCCAACUUGCGAAAGUGAGCGAAUCCCAAAAAGUGCGUCGUAGUCCGGAUUGGAGUCUGCAACUCGACUCCAUGAAGUCGGAAUCGCUAGUAAUCGUGGAUCAGAAUGCCACGGUGAAUACGUUCCCGGGCCUUGUACACACCGCCCGUCACACCAUGGGAGUGGGCUGCAAAAGAAGUAGGUAGUUUAACCUUCGGGGGGACGCUUACCACUUUGUGGUUCAUGACUGGGGUGAAGUCGUAACAAGGUAGCCGUA
rnacentral:rRNA from 1 species